UGUAGCUCAGUGGUUAGAGCAUUUCCCUAACAUGUGAGCAGCCCUGGGUUCUAUUCCCAGCA
rnacentral:tRNA from 1 species